rnacentral:rRNA from 1 species
CAGGGGGUGCAAACGUUGCUCGGAAUCAUUGGGCGUAAAGCGCGCGUAGGCGGUUGCUUAAGUCGGAUGUGAAAGCCCUCGGCUCAACUGAGGAAGAGCAUCCGAAACUGAGCAGCUUGAGUACUAAAGAGGGUCGCGGAAUUCCCGGUGUAGAGGUGAAAUUCGUAGAUAUCGGGAGGAACACCGGUGGCGAAGGCGGCGACCUGGGUAGAGACUGACGCUGAGGCGCGAAAGCGUGGGGAGCAAACAGGAUUAGAUACCCUGGUAGUCCACGCCGUAAACGAUGGGUGCUAGAUGUCGCUGGUAUUGACCCCGGCGGCGUCGUAGCUAACGCGUUAAGCACCCCGCCUGGGGAGUACGGCCGCAAGGCUA